rnacentral:rRNA from 1 species
CCUACGGGGGGCAGCAGUGAGGAAUAUUGGUCAAUGGGCGGAAGCCUGAACCAGCCAAGUAGCGUGCAGGAUGACGGCCCUACGGGUUGUAAACUGCUUUUAUACGGGAAUAACGCGCCUUACGUGUAGGGCUUUGCAUGUACCGUAUGAAUAAGGACCGGCUAAUUCCGUGCCAGCAGCCGCGGUAAUACGGAAGGUCCGGGCGUUAUCCGGAUUUAUUGGGUUUAAAGGGUGCGUAGGCGGGCAUUUAAGCCGGCGGUCAAAUGUCGGGGCUCAACCCCGGCCUGCCGUCGGAACUGGGUGCCUUGAGUGGGCGAGAAGUAUGCGGAAUGCGUGGUGUAGCGGUGAAAUGCAUAGAUAUCACGCAGAACCCCGAUUGCGAAGGCAGCAUACCGGCGCCCUACUGACGCUGAGGCACGAAAGUGCGGGUAUCGAACAGGAUUAGAUACCCCUGUAGUC